UCGUAACGAGCGCAACCCUUGUCCUUAGUUACCAGCACGUUAUGGUGGGCACUCUAAGGAGACUGCCGGUGACAAACCGGAGGAAGGUGGGGAUGACGUCAAGUCAUCAUGGCCCUUACGGCCUGGGCUACACACGUGCUACAAUGGUCGGUACAAAGGGUUGCCAAGCCGCGAGGUGGAGCUAAUCCCAUAAAACCGAUCGUAGUCCGGAUCGCAGUCUGCAACUCGACUGCGUGAAGUCGGAAUCGCUAGUAAUCGUGAAUCAGAAUGUCACGGUGAAUACGUUCCCGGGCCUU
rnacentral:rRNA from 1 species